UACGUAGGUGGCAAGCGUUACUCGGAAUCACUAGGCGUAAAGCGCAGGUAGGCGGUUAGAUAAGUUCUUUGUGAAAGCUCCCGGCUUAACUGGGAGAGGUCAAGGAAUACUGUCUGGCUAGAGUACGGUAGGGGUAACUGGAAUUCCCGGUGUAGCGGUGAAAUGCGUAGAUAUCGGGAGGAAUACCUAUGGCGAAAGCAAGUUACUGGGCCGUUACUGACGCUGAGCUGCGAAAGCUAGGGGAGCAAACAGG
rnacentral:rRNA from 1 species